UGACAUUCCAGUGUGAGUACUAGAGGGGACAGUCAACCCAGAGCCUGCCUCCAACAGAGCUUUCUCCCUAACAGACCCCGCUGUGUCAUAGAGGCGCAGACCCCAAAAAAUGCAUAUAAGAUCAUCGGUCAAAUUUCAAAAGAGGACAACUUUAAGAUAUGAAAUAAUUACAUAAAGUCAACAUAUUAAGUAAUCAUUACAAGCAACCGUCAGAGCUGCCACCAUGACCAC